rnacentral:lncRNA from 1 species
GGACAGGAGUUGGUGUGAAGCUUCUCUGAGCCUCAGUUCCCUCAUCUAUGGAAUAGGAGCCAGAGUUCCUCCCUCCAGGGUCAGAAGGCAGCUAGCUGAUAAGGGGAGCAGCACCCACGGUGAGGUCUGACCAACAGCCGCAACCAUAGUGGCGCUUUGCUGAGUCUUCCUUGAGCUCCCUGUGUGCCUAACGCAGAGCUUCUCCCCUCCCCGGGGCUUUGGAAAAUCUGCUCUGAAAUGUCUUGUGUCUACAGGAUGAAUUAGCCAAACGACAACUCCGGUGUGAGCAGAACGGGCUCAUUGGGUCAAGACACAAUUCCACCACAGAACGGGUUUCACAAAGGACCAUGUCCCAUCAACUCAGCAAUGAAACCAUCGUGGUCUGGAAACCUGAGAUCAGGACCCACAGAAUGACUGGCGGAAUGACAGACCAAAUGUGGAAGAUGUUCCAACCAGGAAUGAAUCACUUACUUCCAACGUUUCCUAAAGAGGCAAUGGGCUCCUGGGCCCUUUCUCACUCGGGAGGGCCUUUCCUCUGCCCCAUCAUUCUGAGGGUUUCUGGAAGAUGGAGUCCCGCUCUGUUGCCCAUGCUGGAGUGCAGUGUCGCGAUCUGGGUUCGCUGCAACCUCCGCCUCCCAGGUUCAAGUGAUUCUCCUGCCUCAGCCUCCUGAGUAGCUACGAUUACAGCCCGAGAGGAAAGCCCCAUGCUAUCCCCAUUUCAUAGAUGGGAAAACUGAGGCUUGAGGACACUUUGCGGCCUCCAAGGGCUGUUCUCUUCAUUCCUCCAGCAGAGUGGAUAUGAGACGGUGCAGGGUCUGGAAUGUCUGGGCAGAAGGAAGAGCUGGAGCAAAGGCCUGGAGGCUGGAGAGCGCUGUCGGGGGGCAAGUGGGGCAGUGUCCCACUGCGGGGUUUCAUCUCAGCUCUGCCAUGUCUUGGCUACGUGACCUCUGACACCCUACUGGGCCUCUUUGAUCCCAGACUCACCUGUA